rnacentral:lncRNA from 1 species
UUAGUAAUGAUAGAGGUUUGUAAUAAAAAAUAUUUGGAAAUCACUGCCAUAGGAGGAUAUGAAAUUAACCACCUGCUCUGGCACUGUGUUGCUGCUUGGUCUUGUGUUCAGAAUAACAGUCCUCAGUUGAAUAACGUGCUUGAACAUCUCGUCUUCCAUAAGACACAGCUUCAAAAGAAAUGCUGGCUGGAAUGCAGUGUUGCAGUGCCGUGAUCUCCGCUUACUGCAACCUCCAUCCCUGGGGCUCAAGUGAUCCUCCCAGCUCAGCCUCCCAAGUUGGAUUCAGUACUGGCUUUACUGGUCCUUGGGGAGGCUGCCAAAUUAAACAUGGCCUGCUUGAAAGCUUUAAUGGACGUAGUGAGAGAUUUUGUUUCAAGCAUUAUGUCUGUUCAAAAUCAGGAAGAAAGUUGCAAGGUAGAUGAUUUUUCCUGGGCCUGGAAUGUAGUCUACAUAUAUACAGUAAUUCUUGCAGAAAUCUGCUUGUAUGCAGCCACUUCUGAUUUGCGAAAAACUGCUUUAAUUGGUUUCUGUCACUGUAAAAGUUCACAAAAAAAUAUUUUAUACUUGGACAAAUCAGUACCUCCAGAAUUAAAGGAAACAAGUAUUUUAAGUCUUUUGGAAUAUUUCUCUUCAAAAAUGUCAGAGAACUGUGAUCAAGUAGUCUGGACUGGUUACUAUGGCUUAGUGUAUAACCUGGUGAAAAUUUCAUGGGAACUUCAAGGAGACGAAGAACAGGAUGGACUUAGAAACAUGAUAUGGCAAACAUUGCAGAAAACAAAG